UCACAGAAGUAUAAAUUGCCUUCGCCAAGGGCACUGACACAAUCCCACAUCAUGGGAGACCCUGGCUUUUGGACGUAUUGAUAAUAAAAAUUUGGUUUGU